rnacentral:rRNA from 1 species
UGGGAACCUUCCCUAUGGUUCGGAAUAGCUCAGGGAAACUUGAGGUAAUACCGGAUAAGCCCUUCGGGGAAAGAUUUAUCGCCAUUGGAUGGGCCCGCGUCGGAUUAGCUAGUUGGUGAGGUAACGGCUCACCAAGGCAACGAUCCGUAGCUGGUCUGAGAGGAUGAUCAGCCACACUGGGACUGAGACACGGCCCAGACUCCUACGGGAGGCAG